UAAGACAGAGGGUGCAAACGUUGUUCGGAAUUACUGGGCGUAAAGCGCGUGUAGGCGGCUAUGUAAGUCGGGCGUGAAAUCCCACGGCUCAACCGUGGAAGUGCACCCGAAACUGCGUAGCUAGAGUCCUGGAGAGGAAGGUGGAAUGCUUGGUGUAGAGGUGAAAUUCGUAGAUAUCAAGCGGAACACCGGUGGCGAAGGCGGCCUUCUGGACAGUGACUGACGCUGAGACGCGAAAGCGUGGGGAGCAAACAGGAUUAGAUACCCUGGUAGUCCACGCCGUAAACGAUGAGUGCUAGGUGUCACGGGCUUUGACCCUCGUGGUGCCGAAGCUAACGCGUUAAGCACUCCGCCUGGGGAGUACGGCCGCAAGGCUA
rnacentral:rRNA from 1 species